rnacentral:miRNA from 1 species
GGGUGCGGGGGUGGGCAC